CUUUAGGCAGAGUCACAGAUGUGUGCAGCAGGAAACACAGGCCCAUAACAGAGGAGGGACAGUCAUCUUGCUGGAGCACCAAUAGCAUCAGCUACAAUAGGUCACACAAGGCACCUUUAUCCUGGAGACCACUUGAUUCUACUGCCCAGAAUUUCUUCAUCCUUUUUGGGUUUUACUCUAGGAAACCGCAUACCGACCAUUUUAGCCCAUUUGAUUCACUUGGGGUUUCAUUUCUGUAACACAAGCUAAUGGUGCAUGCCAGAAUGUGCUGUAACCAAUCCAAAUGUCAGGUAUUCAAUUGAUAAAUGUUAUCUCAUGUUAAUAACUUUGAAUUGACUAUCCUUUAAUAUAACUUACAAAGUGAAAAUUCAGUGAUAGUAUUGAUAUUUCUGUCAUCAAUGUAUUUUUAACAAUUUAAGGGUCAACUCUUAAAUCCUUGAAACUCAUCAGAAAUAUCAGCUAUUGCUUUGGACUUUAAGGAUGCUGACAAAGACGAAAGCAAUCAGUUCAAUUAUUAGAAUUUUUAAAGUGUCAGUUUCGAAAUAGUUACAUCACAAAACAUGACAAAAAUGUAACAUAAUUUUCAAAAUCAGUGUAUUGUUUACAUAUGAAGCUAGAAAAACUAAUACCUGGAAAGUAAGAGAUAUAACUAAAAACAACACAUUUAUUACUCUUCUUUGGUUAAAUUGAGGGUAUAAUCUAAUACCUUCUGAUCACUUUACAAGUACUAUCUACACCUUACUCUGUUAAAAUACCUGCCUUAAAAAAGUGCCGUGGAAAUAUUUCACAUUAAUAGAGGCUGAGACAUGAAAACUGAAUGUAACAUUUGACCCUAAACUGGAGUGACAAAAAAAAAAAAAAAAAAAGUGCCAGUGGCCAAAAUUGGAAUUUGGAUGGUAAGUUAUCCUAUCAACAUUAAAUUGGCUGAACUGUGUUGUGGCCACUUAAUAUCCCAAAUCUUAGCAAGUGCAUGCUUAAGUAUUUAGAGGUAAAAGGCCACGAUGCAUGUAACUUACCUUCAAAUGGUUCAGAAAAAAAAGUAUGCAUCCCCAGAGCACAAAUACACAUGUAGUAAAGCAAAUGGAAUAAAAUGUUAUCAAUAGCUAAAUUUGAGUAGAGGGUAUACAGGAGUUGUCUUUUAUCCUUGCAACUUUUCUAUAUUUGGAAAUUAUUUCUGCAUUUGAAGUUAUUUUCAAAUAUAAAGUUAAAAAUAUACAUGUGCCUUAAUUAUG